GACGAACGCUGGCGGCGUGCUUAACACAUGCAAGUCGAACGGACAGGCUCUGCUUUUGUUUGGUGCUCGAUUGGCUAACGGGUGCGUAACACGUGAGUAACCUGCCCUUGACUGUGGGAUAGCUUCAGGUAACUGGUGCUAACACUGGAUAAGAGCUCCUGCUGUUUGUUGUUGGUUGAUAAGUUUUGGCGGUUGGGGAUGGAAUCACGGCUUAUGAGCUUGUUGUUGGGGUAGUGGCUUACCAAGGCGUCGACGGGUAGCCGGCCUGAGAGGGUGACCGGCCACAUUGGGACUGAGAUACGGGCCAGACUGCUACGGGAGGAAGCAGUGGAGAAUAGUGCAAGAUGGGCGGAAGCAGGAUGCAGCGACGCCGCGUGCGGGAGGACGGUCUUAGGGUUGGAAACCGCGUUCGCCUGUGACGAAGCGUGAGUGACGGUAAUGGGUAAAGAAGCAACGGCUAACUACGUG
rnacentral:rRNA from 1 species